GAGGCUGAGACGCCGCAUCAACCCCUCAAGAAACUCCGUCGAGGCCUGCCUAAGGAGUCUCCGGCCCGCAGCAACGGUCAAGAGCUUCGAGAGAGCUCCCCAAAAUCCCGAGGCUUGAAGACCCCUUUGCACAUCCCGGUGCCGCCACAGAGGCGACAUGCUCUAGUGACCACCCCUGCCUCCUCUCUUGGAGCGGGGACCUCCUAUGUUGUGUGGUCCUCUGUGGAUAUUGCGAUCGCAGCCACACCGCUGGUGACUUUGCUCGGUGCGCCCUUAUCUUUUGAGCCCCUUUUUCAGAGGUCGGACGCCAGCCCCCAGGUAAGUAUUUUACCCGAGCUCCCUAUGCCUUUAAUAGGUGCAGUAGAUUAAUGAAUCCGCCUGUUUGCGGGAGGGCCUCUGUGGUGCUUGUGGUGGCCACGGACACGGAGAGCACCACCAAGGACGGUGGGGAUGGGGACUCGUCUUCUGUCGUGAGGCCCAUAGGUCCAUCACAUGUCCGUGUGGAAGGACUAGGCUCCCCUGGAGUGUUUGUCUUUCCUUUAGCGAGCAUGACAACGACACCUACAAUUUCGAAGGCCGUAGCUGGCAGUGUUGACCAGUCGGCCACACCCUCCGCACCCUUGGCCAGCACACCGCUGGAGUCUCCAACAGCCUGUCCAGAGGGGAGGCAGUUCAUUCUCCGCCGGUUGCGCCGGAGGUCCCUUCAUUUAUGCACAGGGGCUUCCGCCAGAGGUUCCCUAGGAGAUCGUGACACCCUUAAGGGCUGCCAACGAGGCGCUGAAGUGCCUGUGAUCAGUCUUGAAGUAGGUGGGGCUUUCUGCAGAUCCCAACUUCAAGGUGCUCGUUGGGGAGAACCAUAGCCUUGUUGCGCAGGUCUCGGAGUUGGAGGAGCAGCUGGGAGCUCUUGAGCAGAAGACCUGUGGCUUGCAGCGUGCCAGGGAUGUGUAGCCCCCGGGGAUGCUGCAGCCCUCCGUCAAGAAUUGGAUGAGGCCUCCAGGACCGUAAGCAGGCGGAGGAGGCGGAACAUACCGCCAUGAAGGAGCUAGAGAUAAUGUUGUCCUCCAAAUCACAUUUGGAGGCUACCCUUCAACGGGAGCAGGAUGUAUGUCGCGCCCUUUGUAAUGACUCAGAGGAGAAUAAGGACCGUCGGGGUUUGAUCCAGCGUGCUCUGGAGGCCACGGAGAAGAAAUUGACGCAGCAGGGUGACGUGGCCUGAGUGGCCGAAUAGAAGCUCCGCUGCCAGAGAUCCAGAACGAUGAUGCGGAGGCCUGGAUCCAAGACGUCGCGGCGGUGGCUGAGAAGAUGAGGACCGCCCUUAAGGUUGUCGUUGGUACUUUACACCGCGAUGGUCUCCUGCUGAAGUCUAACAUUGAGACUGUCCUGGAUCUGCUCGGGGAAGUAUCCUGAUCACAGGGACGGACGGUAAAUUCUGGUAUGCCCUAACCAAACAUGGCGGCCACCACAGAGAAAUAAAGCAUGCUUCGCUAAGUUGCGAGCUUCAAAAUUUGAGCUCCUAAACUCAUGACUGAAAUUAUAUAAAUCAAAAGCUAAAGAAUGUUCGACUA